rnacentral:rRNA from 1 species
UGGAUUAGUGGCGAACGGGUGAGUAACACGUGGGCAAUCUGCCCUGCACUCUGGGACAAGCCCUGGAAACGGGGUCUAAUACCGGAUGACACUUCCUUCCGCAUGGGAGGAGGUUGAAAGCUCCGGCGGUGCAGGAUGAGCCCGCGGCCUAUCAGCUUGUUGGUGGGGUGAUGGCCUACCAAGGCGACGACGGGUAGCCGGCCUGAGAGGGCGACCGGCCACACUGGGACUGAGACACGGCCCAGACUCCUACGGGAGGCAGCAGUGGGGAAUAUUGCACAAUGGGCGAAAGCCUGAUGCAGCGACGCCGCGUGAGGGAUGACGGCCUUCGGGUUGUAAACCUCUUUCAGCAGGGAAGAAGCGAAAGUGACGGUACCUGCAGAAGAAGCGCCGGCUAACUACGUGCCAGCAGCCGCGGUAAUACGUAGGGCGCAAGCGUUGUCCGGAAUUAUUGGGCGUAAAGAGCUCGUAGGCGGCUUGUCACGUCGGAUGUGAAAGCCCGGGGCUUAACCCCGGGUCUGCAUUCGAUACGGGCAGGCUAGAGUGUGGUAGGGGAGAUCGGAAUUCCUGGUGUAGCGGUGAAAUGCGCAGAUAUCAGGAGGAACACCGGUGGCGAAGGCGGAUCUCUGGGCCAUUACUGACGCUGAGGAGCGAAAGCGUGGGGAGCGAACAGGAUUAGAUACCCUGGUAGUCCACGCCGUAAACGUUGGGAACUAGGUGUUGGCGACAUUCCACGUCGUCGGUGCCGCAG